AAUCAACGCUGGCGGCGUGCCUCAGACAUGCAAGUCGAACGAUUAAGACUUCCUUCGGGAAGUGCAUAAAGUGGCGCACGGGUGAGUAACACGUAAGUAAUCUACCCUCGAGUGGGGAAUAACAUCGGGCAACCGAUGCUAAUACCGCAUAAUGCAGCGGCACCGCAAGGUGACAGUUGUUAAAGGAGCAAUUCGCUUGAGGAGGAGCUUGCGGCAGAUUAGCUUGUUGGUAAGGCAACGGCUUACCAAGGCUACGAUCUGUAUCCGGUCUAAGAGGACGGUCGGACACACUGACACUGAAUAACGGGUCAGACUCCUACGGGAGGCAGCAGUCGGGAAUUUUGGGCAAUGGGCGAAAGCCUGACCCAGCAACGCCGCGUGAAGGAUGAAGUAUUUCGGUAUGUAAACUUCGAAAGAAUGGGAAGAAUAAAUGACGGUACCAUUUAUAAGCUCCGGCUAACUACGUGCCAGCCGCCGCCGUAAGAC
rnacentral:rRNA from 1 species